rnacentral:lncRNA from 1 species
AAUUAGCUACUUUAAACAUGCGACAGGUGGUAUGACACUGUAUUGAUGUAUGUGAAAUGUAUAGAGUCUUUCAGUUAUCAGAUAAUGUCAAGGAGUUGACAGCAUGGUGUCCAAUUUAAAGUACGAACCUGUGUACGAG